UCGGGAAUUUUGGGCAAUGGGCGAAAGCCUGACCCAGCAACGCCGCGUGAAGGAUGAAGUAUUUCGGUAUGUAAACUUCGAAAGAAUAGGAAGAAUAAAUGACGGUACUAUUUAUAAGGUCCGGCUAACUACGUGCCAGCAGCCGCGGUAAUACGUAGGGACCAAGCGUUGUUCGGAUUUACUGGGCGUAAAGGGCGCGUAGGCGGCAAUUCAAGUCAUCUGUGAAAUCUCCGGGCUUAACUCGGAACGGUCAGAUGAUACUGCUUUGCUAGAGUGCAGAAGGGGCAAUCGGAAUUCUUGGUGUAGCGGUGAAAUGCGUAGAUAUCAAGAGGAACACCUGAGGUGAAGACGGGUUGCUGGGAUAACACUGACGCUCAUGCACGAAAGCGUGGGGAGCAAACAGGAUUAGAUACCCAAGUAGUCCCUGAGCGGGCUG
rnacentral:rRNA from 1 species